rnacentral:piRNA from 2 species
UAUUUGUUUGUAUUGUCAGGUGUAUC